UACGUAGGGGGCUAGCGUUGUCCGGAUUUAUUGGGCGUAAAGCGCGCGCAGGCGGCUUACCAAGUCGGUCGUGAAAUCUCUCGGCUCAACCGGGAGGGGUCGGGCGAAACUGGUAGGCUGGAGGAUGGUAGGGGGAAGCGGAAUUCCCGGUGUAGUGGUGGAAUGCGUAGAUAUCGGGAGGAACACCAGUGGCGAAGGCGGCUUCCUGGACCAUUUCUGACGCUGAGGCGCGAAAGCGUGGGGAGCGAUCCGG
rnacentral:rRNA from 1 species